UGAGCAAUCUGCCCUUCUCAUCGGAAUAAGCGUUGGAAACGACGUCUAAUGCCGAAUACGACCUCCUUUCGCAUGAUCGGAGGUGGAAAGCUCCGGCGGAGAAGGAUGAGCUCGCGGCCUAUCAGCUUGUUGGCGGGGUAAUGGCCCACCAAGGCAACGACGGGUAGCUGGUCUGAGAGGAUGAUCAGCCACAUUGGGACUGAGACACGGCCCAGAUCCCGUACGGGG
rnacentral:rRNA from 1 species